GACGAACGCUGGCGGCGUGCUUAACACAUGCAAGUCGAACGGAAAGGCCCUGCUGUUUUGGGGUGCUCGAGUGGCGAAAGGGUGAGUAACAUGAGAGUAACCUGCCCUUGACUUUGGGAUAACUUCAGGAAACUGGGGCUAAUACCGGAUAGGAGCCCCUGCUGCAUGGUGGGGGUUGGAAAGUUUCGGCGGUUGGGGAUGGACUCGCGGCUUAUCAGCUUGUUGGUGGGGUAGUGGCUUACCAAGGCGUUGACGGGUAGCCGGCCUGAGAGGGUGACCGGCCACACUGGGACUGAGAUACGGCCCAGACUCCUACGGGAGGCAGCAGUGGGGAAUAUUGCACAAUGGGCGGAAGCCUGAUGCAGCAACGCCGCGUGCGGGAUGACGGCCUUCGGGUUGUAAACCGCUUUCGCCUGUGACGAAGCGUGAGUGACGGUAAUGGGUAAAGAAGCACCGGCUAACUACGUG
rnacentral:rRNA from 1 species